UGGUCUUGACAUAUAAAGAACUUUCCAGACAUGGAUUGGUGCCUGCUUGCAGGAGCUUUCAUACAGGUGCUGCACGGCUGUCGUCAGCUCGUGUCGUGAGAUGUUGGGUUAAGUCCCGCAACGAGCGCAACCCUCGUCGUUAGUUGCUAACAGUUCGGCUGAGAACUCUAACGAGACUGCCUACGCAAGUAGGAGGAAGGUGAGGACGACGUCAAGUCAUCAUGGCCCUUACGACCAGGGCUACACACGUGCUACAAUGGGGUAUACAAAGAGCAGCAAUACGGUGACGUGGAGCGAAUCUCAAAAAUGCCUCCCAGUUCGGAUUGUAGUCUGCAACUCGACUACAUGAAGUUGGAAUCGCUAGUAAUCGUAGAUCAGCUAUGCUACGGUGAAUACGUUCCCGGGUCU
rnacentral:rRNA from 1 species